UGCUGUGCUUCUUUCUUCAUCUACAUUGUCUUCUAUUUCCUUUUAUUGGUAAUCCGGAUCGUCCGGAUCCCCCCGUCACAAAUAUAGGCAACUCUACUUACACACUGGUGGGUUGACACUUGCCCUAACGGGAUAUAGCCAUCAUGAAGACUAGAGGUAGAAAAAAGAACAAGUGCAUGUACUUGGGACUUGGUCGAGGAGCUUUACUUGAUGAUUUCAAGAAAGAUAAAUAAAUCAGCGCACGUAUUGAACUUUCAAUGUUUGAUCAAAGGAAUCAUAUAUAUUAGCUGCUUCCCUUUUUAAUGGAAGGCAUCGAAAUUUAUUUCAGAAAAAGCAGCAAAAAUAUACUCACUGUCAGAUUAUUUCAAUAACAUUAAUGAAGAGCACGCAACCAUGCUCUGUCUUCUGCAUUGAUUCUUUUGAAGUUAUACAGCUAUUCUGCAAGCACCAGGCAUGAUACAGUAAUUGACGAAUAUUUACAAUCUACUUUAUUACUUUUAUUUAUCCAUUUCAAUUACUUAAUUAAUCAUUCACUCACUAAUCUUAUUAAAAUCUAAAUACACAAGAGAUUCAACUCAAUUGUGUGGCUAUUAAUUGCUUUUCUCAAACGUGUAAUUAGCAGUUUAAAAGGACUUGCCUGAUUCCAAAUUUUCGUGAAUCUACAUUUAGAGAAAUUAAUUUCAAAGUAAAAUCAAUUCUUUUCAACAUUUUCCAGCUUGUUUAAAAUCAGAAUCUAUACGACCUUUAAUUUUUCAAUUUGUUUGCGUUCAUUGAUAUAAUUAAAUAUGAAGACAAUAGAUGAUAAUUAAGAAUUUGAGUAUUAAUAAUAGUAUUUUUCGAUACAAAAGCAUAAUGGCACCAAGGCUGCAUAGCGAGUGUCGCACAUUCGUACAUUCUAGGCAUUGCCAGCUUCUGAUCGUGUAUCGAACAUUAUUUUUUGUUAAGACUCUAACGUAAGGUCCUAUUUUUUUAUGCAUUAUUUACCAGCAAUUAAGAAGUCUCUUAAACCCGAGUGCAAGAAAAACUUUUUAAACAACUGCCAGCUGUGCAGGACAAUUUUUCUCACACUAGGGUUUGAGAGACUCCUUUAAGUACCUGUGGAUGGUGUAUAAAAAAGGACUUUCAGUGCAGAUGUUACAAAAAAUAAAUUAUUGCUCCACCCUUAAUGUUUUAAACAAGACUUGUAUGUACAUUAUGUUCAAAGUAUUAGAUUGUAUCAUUACGGUAAAAAUUGUAGUGAUGAAAGAGCAGAAAUAACAUGUUUUAUUAAAAUCUUUAUUUUUUAUAGCGUUCUUCUAAAUAAUAAUUAACAUAAUCUAUUACGAAGAGUGCUAACUAGAGUGCUGGGCAGGGUGAUGAAGAUAAACCAAUUCAGUUAUUCAUAAUUGUUUUAUACCUAAAUUUUUGUAACAAACAACUAUACAAUAAAAUGACCAAGAUUGGCAUUAAACUUGAUCAACCUGUUACUACAGUGAUAUCUCGAAAGCACAUGGAUCUAAGACGUUGUAUCAAUUAUAAUGUAUGUAAAGGUGACAGAAUGUUGUUGAGACAUAAUGAAAAUGAUCGCGAUAAUAGUAAUAAUAAUGACGAUAAUAAUAAUAUUAUUAAUGAUGGUAAUAAUAACAGAAACACAACAGCAUCCAUUAAAAAAAAAUUGGAUUAUAUCCUACCACACACAGGGCAGCCAGCACUCUUUUUCAUAUUUACUUGGGUCAUAGAAUAAUACAAGAAUUAAUAUCAUAUCAUACACAUAACACGGCAUACGAAGCCUAUUUCUAUAUCUAAAGGGUGAUCACGCAUUAACACGCAGUUAUGCAGGAAGGACCAGAUUUCCAGUUUAGUCAGCGCAUGAUACUUUCCUGUAUAACUACCCAAUAAAAAUUAAGGAAUUUCGCACAUGUCAAGUAUUCAAAUCAUCAUUUGCGCAUAUGUAAAUUGAAUAAUAAACGGGAACUUGAAAAUAUUAUUUUUGCCGCAAAUAUAAUUACCUUAUCUGAUGAAUGUCAAAGCACAAUCUGAUCACUAGUAGCUCGACAUCUCGUUUCUUUUCUACCCACAUGUGUACUUUUUGCUUGGCUGUUAGAAUUCUGUCUCUUUUGUAAUUGUAACGCCAACUUUAGGAAAAUGCAUGUUGUAAUUGAUACUAGGCUAAAUUUUGCAACUAAGCUGGGCGAAUAUUUAGAAUCCAUACUUUAAGCACUAAAAAUAGUACA